GAUUGAUGGGGAUGGUUGGGGGCAUUUGUAUUUAACUGUCAGAGGUGAACUUCUUGGAUUUGUUAAAGACAAACUAAUGCGAAUGCAUUUGCCAAGGAUGUCUUCUUUAAUCGAGAACGAAAGUUAGGGGAUCGAAGACGAUUAGAUACCGUCCUAGUCUUAACCAUAAACUAUGCUACCAAGAAAUUGGAGGCGGUUGCCUGUUGAUUCCUUCGGCAUUUUUUGAGAAAUCAAAGUCUUUGAGUUCCAGGGGGAGUAUGGUCGCAAGACUGAAACUUAAAGGAAUUGACGGAAGGGCACCACCAGGAGUGGAGCCUGCGGCUUAAUUUGACUCAACACGGGGAAACUCACCAGGUCCAGACAUAGUAAGGAUUGACAGAUUGAUAGCUCUUUCUUGAUUCUGUGGGUGGUGGUGCAUGGCCGUUCUUA
rnacentral:rRNA from 1 species